rnacentral:rRNA from 1 species
GACGAACUCUGGCGGCGUGCCUAAUACAUGCAAGUCGAGCGGACCGGAUUGGGGCUUGCCUUGAUUCGGUCAGCGGCGGACGGGUGAGUAACACGUGGGCAACCUGCCCGCAAGACCGGGAUAACUCCGGGAAACCGGAGCUAAUACCGGAUAACACCGAAGACCGCAUGGUCUUCGGUUGAAAGGCGGCCUUUGGGCUGUCACUUGCGGAUGGGCCCGCGGCGCAUUAGCGAGUUGGUGAGGUAACGGCUCACCAAGGCGACGAUGCGUAGCCGGCCUGAGCGGGUGACCGGCCCCACUGGGACUGAGACACGGCCCAGACUCCUACGGGAGGCGGCAGUAGGGAAUCUUCCGCAAUGGGCGAAAGCCUGACGGAGCGACGCCGCGUGAGCGAAGAAGGCCUUCGGGUCGUAAAGCUCUGUUGUGAGGGACGAAGGAGCGCCGCUCGAAGAGGGCGGCGCGGUGACGGUACCUCACGAGAAAGCCCCGGCUAACUACGUGCCAGCCGCCGCCGUAA